GGGCCCGCACAAGCGGCGGAGCAUGUUGCUUAAUUCGACGCAACGCGAAGAACCUUACCAAGGCUUGACAUGCAGGGAAAAGCCGUAGAGACACGGUGUCCGUAAGGGCCCUGCACAGGUGGUGCAUGGCUGUCGUCAGCUCGUGUCGUGAGAUGUUGGGUUAAGUCCCGCAACGAGCGCAACCCUUAUCCUAUGUUGCCAGCGGAUUAUGCCGGGGACUCAUGGGAGACUGCCGGGGUCAACUCGGAGGAAGGUGGGGAUGAGGUCAAGUCAUCAUGCCCCUUAUGUCUUGGGCUGCAAACAUGCUACAAUGGCCGGUACAGAGGGCUGCGAGACCGUAAGGUGGAGCGAAUCUCAAAAAGCCGGUCUCAGUUCGGAUUGGGGUCUGCAACUCGACCCCAUGAAGUCGGAGUCGCUAGUAAUCGCGAAUCAGCAACGUCGCGGUGAAUACGUUCCCGGGCCUU
rnacentral:rRNA from 1 species